rnacentral:rRNA from 1 species
AGCAGCCGCGGUAAUUCCAGCUCCAAUAGCGUAUAUUAAAGUUGUUGCAGUUAAAAAGCUCGUAGUUGAAUUUCGGGAUCAGUACGCUGGUCAUGCCUUUGGUAUGCACUGGUGUCACUGGUUUCUCCCUUCUGAAGAACCGUGAUGUCAUUAAUUUGGUGUCGCGGGGAAUCAGGACUGUUACUUUGAAAAAAUUAGAGUGUUUAAAGCAGGCUCGCGCUUGAAUACAUUAGCAUGGAAUAAUGAAAUAGGACGUUUGACCCUAUUUUGUUGGUUUCUAGGAUCGACGUAAUGAUUAAUAGGGAUAGUUGGGGCAUUAGUAUUCAAUUGUCAGAGGUGAAAUUCUUGGAUUUAUUGAAGACUAACUACUGCGAAAGCAUUUGCCAAGGAUGUUUUCAUUAAUCAAGAACGAAAGUUAGGGGAUCGAAGACGAUCAGAUACCGUCGUAGUCUUAACCAUAAACUAUGCCGACUAGGGAUCGGAUGAUGUUAAUUUAUAAUGACUCA